CCUACGGGGCGCAGCAGUGGGGAAUUUUGCACAAUGGGCGCAAGCCUGAUGCAGCCAUGCCGCGUGUAUGAAGAAGGCCUUAGGGUUGUAAAGUACUUUCAGUUGGGAGGAAGGCGUUGAUGCUAAUAUCAUCAACGAUUGACGUUACCAACAGAAGAAGCACCGGCUAACUCCGUGCCAGCAGCCGCGGUAAUACGGAGGGUGCAAGCGUUAAUCGGAAUUACUGGGCGUAAAGCGCACGCAGGUGGUUGAUUGAGUUAGAUGUGAAAUCCCCGGGCUUAACCUGGGAAUGGCAUCUAAGACUGGUCAGCUAGGGUCUUGUAGAGGGGGGUAGAAUUCCAUGUGUAGCGGUGAAACGCGUAGAGAUGUGGAGGAAUACCGGUGGCGAAGGCGGCCCCCUGGACAAAGACUGACGCUCGGGUGCGAAAGCGUGGGGAGCAAACAGGAUUAGAUACCCCGGUAGUC
rnacentral:rRNA from 1 species